rnacentral:lncRNA from 1 species
AGAAAACUGUACAGUAUACAUUGCCCGUAAUGGUUUUGAAUAAUUCCUAUGUAUUGGAUAGAGGCAUGAUGGGAUAUGAAGUCAGAAGUUGUUUGUGAUGCAUGGCAAGGAUUUAAUAACGACCUUGAGUGCAUUUUUUGGGUUUGGCCGAGUAGUUUGGGGAUUUUACAUAAUUUUCAAUCAAUUCCAGAUACUUUUGGCGAAUCAUCUAUAGGGUGAGAGAAGUAUGCCCAAAAAUGAAAAAUUGGUUCGUGGAUUCUCGAUCAACUAAUCCGUUUUCGUAAGUUUAAGUUUUUUGCUAGUAUUAAUUAAUUUUAUAAAAUGCACUAAAAUAACGGCAUCUAUUUUUAGGGUAGAGCUCAAAAUAGUUAGGUUAUCUCCAACCGAAUGGUCU